rnacentral:lncRNA from 1 species
UAAAAAGCAAAGCAAAGCACAGAAAAACAAUUUGCGUCUUAAUUUGUCAAGGUUUUAGAAUCUUUAUUCAGGUAGGAUAUCGUAUAUUAGGAUACAAUGUAAUUCACAUUUUGCAAAAAAGUUUUUUCUCUAAACCUUUUUUGGUUACUUAUCUUUAUCUAGUUAUUUUAGUGAAAAAUGUAUUCAAUAGAGAUAUUGUUUAAUUAAUGAAAUAUAAAAAUAAAUAUUAAUGCAACUAUUUCAUUCUUUUUUAAAGUAAUUUUCAUUUAUACAUAUCAAUUCGCGUAGUUUAUUUAUUUCAGCUAUAAUUAUCUAAAUGCAAAGAGCUGUUUACUUCAUACUUUAAUUAACUGAAAUCUGUAUAAAGCAAUAAUUUCACUGUUCAUUUCAGAUAACCACGAAUUUACAAUGAAGAAUUUUCUUCUUGUUCUGAUUUUAUGUGCACUACUUCUGGCAAUCUGUGAGGCACAAAAUAUGGGUAAGUGCUUUACAAUUAUUAGGAUUUAUCUUAAUUUAUAUAAUGUUGAUAAAAGAAAAUCUUUGGAUUAUUUAUCAAACAAUGAAAGCACGACUUAUAUACAUUGUAUACGAUUCAUUUGACCUUUAACACGUAUGGGAAUACACAUAGCAAAUAAGGAAUUAGGUAUUUUGUUUCAAAAGUCAAUUAGCUUUUCAUGCUUUGGUUUUCCAUGAUGUAAGCGUCGAUGUGCCAUUUAGUUUAGACACAUGAAAAAAAAUAAUAACGCUGAUCUUACUUUCUUAUUAAUGGAACAUAAUCAAUUUUAGCAGACUAUCGCUUUACAAUUUCCAUGUACAGCUUUACCUACAUUUUUUGUGUUAUAAAUCUGAAAUCUGCGCUACAUUUUCAUUAAGUUUUUGUUUAAUUUAAGGUUUAACUUUUCCCCUUUACAUAAUGUUCUAUCCUGUUUGCUUUGGAAAAAAAUGAAAACAGCACUUUAUUUUAUUAAUAUAAUGCUUCCGAAACUUCCAGGAUUUACCUUCAUCAAUAACAUUUCAUUUUGAACGAUACUAUUAUUUUGAUAAUAGCCGUGGUGUCGUUCGCUUAUCUAUUAUUACUGAAUACAGAAACAAAAGCCGUGUUUCAAUUGCGGAAUGUAUUUCAGCGUUCAUGCAAUUAUCCUAUAUAUUUACCUAGUGUUAAAAAUUGCUUGAAUAAAACCUUAUUUACGAUUUUAUAAUAUUUCAUAUAUUGUUAAUAUAAAUGACAUGCUAAUGUAAAAUUCAUGUAAAACAUGGCAAUUGGCCUUGAAUUAACGGUCAAUUAAUUAUUACUAAAGGUAUGUCAGUACAUUAUGUAAAUAUUGCGUUAACAUUGAAUCAUAUUCUGCAAAACUAAUAUUUUAAAACAUUAUAUAAGAAAUCAAAGUAUCUAAAUUAUUGCAUAUAUUUUAACGAAAUUAACAAAAACUUGUUCGUCUAUGUUCAAAUUUAAUUGCUACACCAUUGUAAUAUCUCUUUUCAGUCUCAAAUCGCUGCAAGCCGAAAAUCUUUAUGACCAUACUAGUUUAUCAAAUUUGCAAUAAAACAUAUACUCUAAGUUCUACUUUUAUAACUAUUCUCAAAUCGCUAUUCUGUUUACUUUUGAAACUUAUAACUCGGAAGAAUUUUGCAUUCUGGAUUUUGGAAGUAUUAGCUUCAUAAAACUUGUACUCUGCCUACAAGGUUUGUUUUUCUGGAUUCAUAUAAACUGUUAGCAAAACAUUGUCCAUACCUAUGAUAUGUGCUCUCGCGAAUGUCAAAUAAAAAAAAAUGGACUAUGUUGGUCAGUUUACAAAACGGUGCGUUUAUUUCUCUAUUUUCUAUAUUUUAUAUUUAACAGGAGCCAUAUGGUUUUUGAGUAGAAUGAUGAACAGACAAAAUCGACCGAUGAGCUUCAUGGAUAUGAUGUUAAUGAACCAGUAUGACAUCAUUUAAACUCAGAAAAUGAACCCACAAACGAUACUCGACGACGCAAAUGACCGUGACAAGAAUGCCCACUUGUUGUUAUAUUGUUGGAAUCCAUUCACAAUCAACCAGACUGUUCAUUUUAUUUAUAUAACAUUGUAAUUAUCAUCUAACUUUGUAUUUUAAUUUUAUAACAAAUUCGAUAAAAAGUGUUUCUGUUUG